rnacentral:misc_RNA from 1 species
AGUGGUGUUUGGUUGGAUACGGGUGGUUGGCUCCCUGCUUGAGCAGGCACAGCCAUGCGUACAUUCCUUUUCAAUUGUGCAUCAAGGCUUUCUAGCCUUGAUUGCAUAUGCGGGUUUCCUGUGNUGCGUACCUGAUCAAUGGCAUCGUGUUGAGAAGAUAGUCCCUUUUCGUCAGGCGUUGCACUUGUGCGUCGNUGGAUGAAACAUGUANCACCAUCUUUGAUCCAUCUUGNCGAUAGNUNUCGUUGGCUUUUUGGCACAUUGANGGUGACUCGGUCCCUCGAAUAUGGAAGCCAAAGUGGGNCAUGGGUUCAUAUGAUCCCUNUUUGCCCUCGUUGAGUGUAGUUGCUUUUCUUAAACGAUUGCCUUUCACGUAUGGCACGUCCCAGCGUGUUUGGCUAUGUCGAAGAGGAAUGCUACCUGGUGAUCCUGCCAGAGUCA